GAUGUGUGUUUCAAGAAAUGAAAAAAAAAAUCAUUAUUUACAUAAAAAAAAAAACGUGAGAAUAUUUUGAAAACUGGUUUGAUUGAGUAUCGCGUGUUUCAAUACUGAAUGAAAUUUAAAUUGAAAAAUUAUUAACUAAGCGAAACUUGUCUCCGUUAUGUCAGAUAACCCAAUGAGCAAGAGAUCAUUUAGCUUACCCUAAUCAGACUAAUAUUUAUGAUAAUAAGGCCGAUAAACUCCAAGUUAUCAUUCAAUAACUAUGUCAAUUGUGAAUUGAAAUUGAAAUUCUCGUAUAUAUGGACAUCGACGGUUCGUUGGACUUAUUCAGUUGGAAGGUUGUUUGCAUCACCUUUUUAGGAAUAUAUAUAGGCUUAUAGUACACAGGCUGACUUUGCCCUCGGAGGAUCCCUUACAAUGGGCAAAUAUUUAAAAGGUCGCCUAAGGUACACAGGCGCCCCGGUAGCCGAGUUGGUAGCGUUCUCGGAUUCCCAGUGCUGGGGAAGUGGGUUCAGUUUCCACCAGAGCUCUUGAGCAUCUAGAGGGCGCAAUUCUUCUCUGAUUUGGCAGAAAUUUAGCAUGAAGUGUUUUUUAUGACUUCCAACAACUGAGCUAAGUAGGGUUGAAAUCGGUCUAUAACCUGAUAUAGCAGCCACAUAUACCGAUCUUGUAUAUUGACUUCUUGAGCCACUAGAGUGCGCAAUGCUCAUCCAUGUAAAUCGAUCUUGGAUCUUGACUUCAUCAGCCACUAGAGGGCGCAAUUCUUAUCCGUUUUGGAUGAAAUUCGUUCGUUGGACUUAUUCAAUUGGAAGGUUGUUUUCAUCACCUUUUUAGGAAUCGGAUUAUAGUCCACAGGCUGACUUUGCCCUCGGAAGAUCCCUUACAAUGGGCAAAAAUUUUAAAGGUCGCCUAAGGUACACAGGCACCCCGGUAGCCGAGUUGGUAGCGGAUUACCAGUGCGGGGAUAAAAUGUAAAUUUGCCCAUAAACAUUCCAUUAAGGAACAGGGGCAAAUUUCUCACAAAUCAAUGAGUGCUGUCCAAUUCAAUUUUAAGCUCAAUGAUAAGGGACCUCCUUUUCAUAGCCGAGUCCGAACGGUGUUCCGCAGAGCGACACCUCUCUGGGGAGAAGUUUUUAUAUGGCAAAGUACCUCACAAAUGUCGCCAGCAUUAGGAAGGGACAACCACCGCUAAAGACAUUUCUGAUGUUCCAGCCAAGAUUCGAACCCAGGCGUUCAGCGUCAUAGGCGGACAUGCUUACCUCUGCGCUACGGUGGCCCCAAAUACCGAUUCGCGACCCCAAAAAAGUUUCUAUAUAUUCCUGAAAGUGAUGACAUUCUAUUGGGUUGCCCAAAUAGUAAUUGUCGGUAAUAUAGUAGUAAUAUAGUCGGCGUUGACAAAUUUUUUCAACGGCUUGUGACUCUGUAAUUGCAUUCUUUCUUCUGUCAGUUAUCAGCUGUUACUUUUAGCUUGCUUUAGAAAAAAAGUGCGCGAAAUUUUGUUUACAUUUGUUUGUUUGGCGUCAAUUUUAAUAUGGGUGCCACAUGUAUUGAAAGAAAUUCAUUUAACAAACCGAAUCAACGCUUGUGAUAUGCACCUUAAACGCAAUGAAUUCGAUCCGUUUUUAAAACGAAUCAUAACUGGAGAUGAAAAAUGGAUUGUUUUCAACAACGUUAGUCGAAAACGAUCAUGAUCCAAGCAUGGUGAACCAGCUCAAACCACUUCAAAGGCUGAUAUCCACCAAAAGAAGGUUAUGCUGUCUGUUUGGUGGGAUUGAAAGGGUGUGGUAUAUUUUGAGCUGCUUCCAAGGAACCAAACGAUUAAUUCGGAUGUUUACUGUCAACAAUUGGACAAAUCGAAUACAGCCAUCAAGGAGAAGCGACCGGUCAAUCGUAAAGGUGUCAUAUUCCACAAGGACAACGCUAGACCGCACACAUCUUUGGUUACACGCCAAAAACUGAGUGAGCCUGGCUGGGAACUUUUUGCAGAAUUCCUUAAAUGGUAAAACUUUCGGCAAUGAUGAGGCUAUAAAAUCGGACUUGGUUCAGUUUUUUGCAGAUAAAGGCCAGAAGUUCUAUGAGCGUGGAAUACUAAAUUUGCCAGGAAGAUGGCAAAAGGUUAUCCAACGAAAUG